GACGAACGCUGGCGGCGUGCUUAACACAUGCAAGUCGAACGGAAAGGCUCCAGCUUGCUGGAGUACUCGAGUGGCGAACGGGUGAGUAACACGUGGGUAAUCUGCCCUGCACUCUGGGAUAAGCCUGGGAAACUGGGUCUAAUACUGGAUAUGACCUUUCUCCUUAUGGGGUUUGGUGGAAAGUUUUUCGGUGUAGGAUGAGCCCGCGGCCUAUCAGCUUGUUGGUGGGGUGAUGGCCUACCAAGGCGACGACGGGUAGCCGGCCUGAGAGGGUGAUCGGCCACAUUGGGACUGAGAUACGGCCCAGACUCCUACGGGAGGCAGCAGUGGGGAAUAUUGCACAAUGGGCGGAAGCCUGAUGCAGCGACGCCGCGUGAGGGAUGACGGCCUUCGGGUUGUAAACCCCUUUCAGCAGGGACGAAGCGUAAGUGACGGUACCUGCAGAAGAAGCACCGGCUAACUAUGUG
rnacentral:rRNA from 1 species